CCUACGGGAGGCAGCAGUGGGGAAUUUUGGGCAAUGGCCGCAAGGCUGACCCAGCGACGCCGCGUGCGGGAGGACGCCCUUCGGGGUGUAAACCGCUGUCAGGCGGGACGAAUGACCGGAGUGGGAAUACUGCUUCGGGUUGACGGUACCGCCAAAGGAAGCGCCGGCUAACUCCGUGCCAGCAGCCGCGGUAAGACGGAGGGCGCGAGCGUUGUUCGGAAUCACUGGGCGUAAAGCGCGCGCAGGCGGGCUCUAGCAAGUCGGAAGUGAAAUCCCGGGGCUCAACUCCGGGCCUGCUUCCGAAACUGCGGGUCUGGAGACCGGUAGAGGUGGGUGGAAUUCCCGGUGUAGCGGUGGAAUGCGUAGAGAUCGGGAAGAACACCUGUGGCGAAGGCGGCCCACUGGGCCGGUUCUGACGCUGAGGCGCGAAAGCGUGGGGA
rnacentral:rRNA from 1 species